rnacentral:rRNA from 1 species
GAGUUUGAUCCUGGCUCAGAUUGAACGCUGGCGGCAGGCCUAACACAUGCAAGUCGAGCGGAUGAAGGGAGCUUGCUCCUGGAUUCAGCGGUGGACGGGUGAGUAAUGCCUAGGAAUCUGCCUGGUAGUGGGGGAUAACGUCCGGAAACGGGCGCUAAUACCGCAUACGUCCUGAGGGAGAAAGUGGGGGAUCUUCGGACCUCACGCUAUCAGAUGAGCCUAGGUCGGAUUAGCUAGUUGGUGGGGUAAAGGCCUACCAAGGCGACGAUCCGUAACUGGUCUGAGAGGAUGAUCAGUCACGCUGGAACUGAGACACGGUCCAGACUCCUACGGGAGGCAGCAGUGGGGAAUAUUGGACAAUGGGCGAAAGCCUGAUCCAGCCAUGCCGCGUGUGUGAAGAAGGUCUUCGGAUUGUAAAGCACUUUAAGUUGGGAGGAAGGGCAGUAAGUUAAUACCUUGCUGUUUUGACGUUACCAACAGAAUAAGCACCGGCUAACUUCGUGCCAGCAGCCGCCGU